UGGGGUUGUGGCUCAGUGGUAGAGUGCUCACCUAGCACAUGCAAGGAGCUGGGUUCAAUCCUCAGCACCACAA
rnacentral:tRNA from 1 species